rnacentral:rRNA from 1 species
GCCUCUUGACUUAACCAUAAGAGGUCCAGCCUGCCCAGUGACAUUGUUCAACGGCCGCGGUAUUCUAACCGUGCGAAGGUAGCGUAAUCACUUGUCCUUUAAAUGAGGACUAGUAUGAACGGCCACACGAAAGCUAUGCUGUCUCCUUUUUCUAAUCAGUUAAACUAAUCUCCCCGUGAAGAAGCGGGGAUGAUCAUAUAAGACGAGAAGACCCUAUGGAGCUUUAAACAAUUGAAACACUUGUAUCCAUCUUCCACACUUCCGACAGUCUACGCUUAAUUUUACACUUUGUUUCUAGCUUUAGGUUGGGGUGACCACGGAGAAAAAACAAACCUCCACGCUGAAAGAGUUAAUCUCUAAACAAAAAGCUACAUCUUUAAGUAUUAAUAUAUUAACCUGAAUUGACCCAAUAAAUUGAUCAACGAACCAAG